GAGACAUUCGCUGGCGGCGUGCCUAACACAUGCAAGUCGCACGAGAAAGUGGAGCAAUCCAUGAGUAAAGUGGCGCACGGGUGAGUAACACGUGAAUUAUCUACCUCCGAGUGGGGAAUAACUGAGAGAAAUCUUAGCUAAUACCGCAUAAUACCCACGGGUCAAAGCAGCAAUGCGCUUGGAGAGGAGUUCGCGGCCGAUUAGCUAGUUGGCGGGGUAAUGGCCCACCAAGGCAAUGAUCGGUAUCCGGCCUGAGAGGGCGCACGGACACACUGGAACUGAAACACGGUCCAGACUCCUACGGGAGGCAGCAGUGGGGAAUUUUGCGCAAUGGGGGAAACCCUGACGCAGCAACGCCGCGUGGAGGAUGAAAUCCCUUGGGAUGUAAACUCCUUUCGAUAGGGAAGAUUAUGACGGUACCUAUAGAAGAAGCCCCGGCUAACUUCGUGCCAGCAGCCGCGGUAAUACGAGGGGGGCAAGCGUUGUUCGGAAUUAUUGGGCGUAAAGGGUGCGUAGGCGGUUUGGCAAGUCUUAUGUGAAAUCUAUGGGCUCAACUCAUAGUCUGCAUGAGAAACUGCCGGGCUUGAGUAUGGGAGAGGUGAGUGGAAUUUCCGGUGUAGCGGUGAAAUGCGUAGAUAUCGGAAGGAACACCUGUGGCGAAAGCGGCUCACUGGACCAUAACUGACGCUGAUGCACGAAAGCUAGGGGAGCAAAAC
rnacentral:rRNA from 1 species